rnacentral:rRNA from 1 species
UUGACCUCGGAUCAGGUAGGGAUACCCGCUGAACUUAAGCAUAUCAAUAAGCGGAGGAACCA